GGUUUUUUUCCUCGCCAGGAUGAACGCUGGCGGCGUGCCUAAUACAUGCAAGUCGAGCGAACAGAUAAGGAGCUUGCUCCUUUGACGUUAGCGGCGGACGGGUGAGUAACACGUGGGUAACCUACCUAUAAGACUGGGAUAACUUCGGGAAACCGGAGCUAAUACCGGAUAACACUUGGAACCGCAUGGUUUCAAAGUGAAAGAUGGUUUUGCUAUCACUUAUAGAUGGACCCGCGCCGUAUUAGCUAGUUGGUAAGGUAACGGCUUACCAAGGCGACGAUACGUAGCCGACCUGAGAGGGUGAUCGGCCACACUGGAACUGAGACACGGUCCAGACUCCUACGGGAGGCAGCAGUAGGGAAUCUUCCGCAAUGGGCGAAAGCCUGACGGAGCAACGCCGCGUGAGUGAUGAAGGUUUUCGGCUCGUAAAACUCUGUUAUUAGGGAAGAACAAAUGUGUAAGUAACUGUGCACGUCUUGACGGUACCUAAUCAGAAAGCCACGGCUAACUACGUGCCAGCAGCCGCGGUAAUACGUAGGUGGCAAGCGUUAUCCGGAAUUAUUGGGCGUAAAGCGCGCGUAGGCGGUUUCUUAAGUCUGAUGUGAAAGCCCACGGCUCAACCGUGGAGGGUCAUUGGAAACUGGGAAACUUGAGUGCAGAAGAGGAAAGUGGAAUUCCAUGUGUAGCGGUGAAAUGCGCAGAGAUAUGGAGGAACACCAGUGGCGAAGGCGACUUUCUGGUCUGCAACUGACGCUGAUGUGCGAAAGCGUGGGGAUCAAACAGGAUUAGAUACCCUGGUAGUCCACGCCGUAAACGAUGAGUGCUAAGUGUUAGGGGGUUUCCGCCCCUUAGUGCUGCAGCUAACGCAU
rnacentral:rRNA from 1 species